AGGACGAACGCUGGCGGCGUGCUUAACACAUGCAAGUCGAACGGUGAAGGGCGGAGCUUGCUCCGACCGGAUCAGUGGCGAACGGGUGAGUAACACGUGAGUAACCUGCCCCAGACUCUGGAAUAACCCCGGGAAACCGGAGCUAAUACCGGAUACGAGACGGAGAGGCAUCUCUACCGUCUGGAAAGUUUUUCGGUCUGGGAUGGACUCGCGGCCUAUCAGCUAGUUGGUGAGGUAAUGGCUCACCAAGGCGACGACGGGUAGCCGGCCUGAGAGGGCGACCGGCCACACUGGGACUGAGACACGGCCCAGACUCCUACGGGAGGCAGCAGUGGGGAAUAUUGCACAAUGGGCGAAAGCCUGAUGCGGCGACGCCGCGUGAGGGAUGACGGCCUUCGGGUUGUAAACCUCUUUCAGCAGGGAAGAAGCGAAAGUGACGGUACCUGCAGAAGAAGCACCGGCUAACUACGUGCCAGCAGCCGCGGUAAUACGUAGGGUGCGAGCGUUGUCCGGAAUUAUUGGGCGUAAAGAGCUUGUAGGCGGUUUGUCGCGUCUGCCGUGAAAAUCCGGGGCUCAACCCCGGACUUGCGGUGGGUACGGGCAGACUAGAGUGUGGUAGGGGAGACUGGAAUUCCUGGUGUAGCGGUGAAAUGCGCAGAUAUCAGGAGGAACACCGAUGGCGAAGGCAGGUCUCUGGGCCACUACUGACGCUGAGAAGCGAAAGCGUGGGGAGCGAACAGGAUUAGAUACCCUGGUAGUCCACGCCGUAAACGUUGGGAACUAGGUGUGGGUCUCAUUCCACGAGAUCCGUGCCGCAGCUAACGCAUUAAGUUCCCCGCCUGGGGAGUACGGCCGCAGGGUAAAACU
rnacentral:rRNA from 1 species